rnacentral:lncRNA from 1 species
UAAUAUUAAGAUGUAAUUUAAAUAUGUACAACCACUAAUCUCUGUGCUGGCCAAAAUUGAAAUAUGUGCUUCCAGCCACUUCAUCUCAAGGACUUCCAUUGUUGGAAUCUCUUGGACCUAUAUAACUGUCCUCAGCUACUACAAAUCUUCAGUCAGAUAGAAGAAAAGGAUCUAAUUGGCAAUCACAUUCAGCUUAAAGUGCCAUUUUUGCGGAACUUAUCAGUGAUGGAUUGUCCCCAAUGGACAUGCUUCAUUGUCGGAUCUCAGCUGACGGAGGUAUUAUUUAACUUGUUUGCAUUUUAUAUAUAGAUUUUGGCACUGUAGCAAAUUAGUAAAAUUUAUAAAUGUGUGUAUAUGUAUAUAUGUAACUUAGUUGAAGAGAUGGUUCCCCCUUUUAUAGUUAGUUUUUAAGCGAGUUCCAUUAUUUUCACUUUAAAUAAAAAUGUAAGAUCAAGAAAGGAUUUAGUUGAAAUGUUUGGUUUAAAUCUGAAAGAUACAUGUAUUCUCUGUUAAUAAGCAUGUAAAAUUAUGAAGACUUCUCUACCAAAAAAGUUUAUGAAGACUUAUGGGUAAUAUACACUCUAGUGUAUUUUUAUGAAAUUAACUGGCCUGUGUGUGUUUUUGCUGAAGCUACUUCUUUAUAACGUGGGAAAUAGCUGCCAAUCGUCUAAGAUAGAUGUACCCAUACUGAAUCAAGACUAUAUAGAAGUUGGGAAUCAUGAAGAAGUACUUCAAGUUCAAGGUGAGUAUUCAUUCUCAAGCAAAAAAGAAAAUGCGAUUGAAGGAUUCAUGUGAAAUGCGGAUUAUAUGGAAGUAUGCUGCUCAAGCUGUAACCCUUGAAAACCUUACAACUCUAGAACUUACUAAUUGCAAGAGGUUAAGAUAUAUAUUUUGUCCUAUGACAGCUCCCAGUUUAUGAUAGUUUGACAAUUUUACAUAUUGAGGGAUGUAAGGAAUUGAAAUGAAUCAUUUAAUCAAGUUUCUUCAUUUUAAAAUGUUGAUACUCGUGUCUAGCCUACAAGCUUUCCUAAUUUUACUGAGUUUACAUAUGCUGUUGACACAUUUGGAGGUAAGGAAAAAUUAUGUGACUAAUUUGUGGUUCAACAACUUGAGAGACUGUUUCAUUGUUUUAUUUACCUGUUUUCAAAGUUCAAAUUUUAGAACAAAAGUAUUGGAUUAUCCAUGUUGAAAAUAUUUGGACAAGUUAGAGCCCAGAUCAUGAAAACCAAUUGAAUUAAAGUUGAAAAUUUUAAGAAUGGUUACUUAAGGAUCUAGUAAAGCCAUUAAAUUACACUGAGAAUCUUAUGGAUUAUGUCAAAAUUAUCCUAUGUUGAUUUUUAGCUUUACUUUAUAAAAAAACUUAAUUAGACUAUGGCUCUUAUGCAAGCAAAAUUUAAGUAGUACAUAAACUUAAAUUUUAUCUAAGUUAAAAAGAUAUCAAGAGAGAAAGCAUAAAUUUGUUCAAGAUAGAGAUAUUUUUUAUUUGCAUUUUUUUUUGUAAGCAAUCAAGAGUCUCUUGAAUUGCAAAAAUAAGCUUUUGAGGGAGGCUUAGUGGGAGCGUGAUCUAGUCUUUGUAUAACGGUGAGAUCAAAAAAUUGAUGAGUUAACUCGAUGUUAGGAUUUAAUAAUUGAUUGUACUAUGAAAAAUAUAGUGGACCACUGCUUUGGGCAAUGCCCUAUAAAUAUAGAUUGAGGUCGAUCAUUUCCUAUGUAGAUACAAUUAUUGCUCAAUGUGUUGGAAAAUGAGCGGAUAUAAAUAUUAAAAAAAUUUGACACGAGAGAUCGAGUUAACACAAGACAAAAUAUUUAGGAUUAGUUUGUUAAGCCUUUUCGUUUUUUUUAAGCUUGCCUCUUUAUUUUAAAUUUCACUAAUUUAGGUUAUUAUUAUAUUUAAUUAGGUUUAAAAUAGUUCAAAUUAACUUUUGUUGUUUUAUUUUUAAUUUCAAUAAAGUUUUUCCCUCAGAUUUUUUUUUCUUCUAAUUCUUUAUUUUUAUGAAUUAGUUUGAUCUAGUUUUAGGCCAUUAGUGAAUUCAGAAGAGAGUUGUGAGAUCUGAUAUCAUAUUUAGAAACUUUCAUAUCGAUAUUUGUUAUUUCUUCGAUUUGAAGAUGGAACCAUCGUCUCAUAAAGUCAUAUUGACAUUAAGGAAAAAGGAACUCGUUGAUUCGGUAUUGUACGGUGUACAGUCGGAAGAACUGAUAUAAUCAAUUAUCGUCGUCGAAACCAUUUUUUUGAAAAAAAAAUUUAGUUGUCGACUUUUAUAAAUGAAAAUUUGGAGUCACCACCGAUCUUUUAUCAAGGUGUGAUCAGAUCACCUUGAAAACGAUUUUGGUCUACAAAACAAAAAUGGGUUCGGGAGUCAGUUACGCACGAGGAAGGAUUAGCACCCUCGUAACGCCAAAAAUUGGUACCUAAUUGAUUAGUUAAUGUCUUAACGUCGAAAGUCAAAAAAAAGAUUAAAAAUGAUUCCCCUUUUAUUAAUACUAUGCUUUUUAAAACAAUACUAGAAUAAAUUUGAAAGAACAUAAAAGGCCCUCUCGUCCCGAUGCAACAAAAUGUCAUACCCCGUAAGUUAGGAUGCAACAUUUUGAAUUCUCAAGAAUAAGCUAACCUUUAAAUUUUUUUAUCGAAAUUUCGUGUAUUUGGAAACAAAAAUGUUUGGCCAUCUUGGUUCAAUGAGGAAAUUGGAACCCCAUAAGUUAGGGCACAAUUCCUCGAAGUUCCAAAGAUGACACAUAAGUUUGCCUUUAUUAAAAAAAUCCUCGUCUCAGGAUAAUGAAAUGUCAUAUCCAAUGAGUUAGGACACAACAUAUCAUUCCUGAGUAUAG